CACGUAGGUGGCGAGCGUUAUCCGGAUUUACUGGGCGUAAAGCGUGUGCAGACUGACUAGCAAGUGGUGUAUGAAAUCGCGGUGCUUAACACAGCGAGGUUAUGCCAGACUGCUGGACUAGAGUGCGAGAGAGGGAUGUGGAAUUCCGGGUGUAGUGGUGAAAUGCGUAGAGAUCCGGAGGAACCCCAGAGGCGAAAGCGGCGUCCUGGCUCGCAACUGACGUUCAGACACGACAGCAUGGGGAGCAAACGGG
rnacentral:rRNA from 1 species